rnacentral:rRNA from 1 species
CCUACGGGUGGCUGCAGCAACGAAUCUUCCGCAAUGCGCGAAAGCGUGACGGAGCAAUGCCGCGUGCAGGAUGAAGCCCCUCGGGGUGUAAACUGCUGUCAGGGUUCAGCAAAUAAAUGAGCAGACCCAAAGGAAGGGCCGGCUAACUUCGUGCCAGCAGCCGCGGUAAUACGAAGGGCCCAAGCGUUGCGCGGAAUCACUGGGCUUAAAGCGUGCGUAGGCGGACAAGAAGGCACGUUGUGAAAUCCCCCGGCUCAACCGGGGAAUUGCUUGGUGAACCGCUUGUCUUGAGGCAAGUAGGGGCUGUCGGAACGAUAGGUGGAGCGGUGAAAUGCGUUGAUAUCUAUCGGAACGCCCAAGGCGAAGGCAGGCAGCUGGGCUUGUUCUGACGCUGAGGCACGAAAGCGUGGGGAGCGAACGGGAUUAGAUACCCUUGUANUC